AACGAACGCUGGCGGCAGGCCUAACACAUGCAAGUCGAGCGAGGUAGCAAUACCUAGUGGCGGACGGGUGAGUAACGCGUGGGAACGUGCCCUUUGCUACGGAAUAGCCCUGGGAAACUGGGAGUAAUACCGUAUGUGCCCUUCGGGGGAAAGAUUUAUCGGCAAAGGAUCGGCCCGCGUUGGAUUAGGUAGUUGGUGGGGUAAUGGCCUACCAAGCCGACGAUCCAUAGCUGGUUUGAGAGGAUGAUCAGCCACACUGGGACUGAGACACGGCCCAGACUCCUACGGGAGGCAGCAGUGGGGAAUCUUGGACAAUGGGCGCGAGCCUGAUCUAGCCAUGCCGCGUGAGCGAUGAAGGCCUUAGGGUUGUAAAGCUCUUUCGUGGGGGAAGAUAAUGACUGUACCCCAAGAAGAAGCCCCGGCUAACUCCGUGCCAGCCGCCGCCGUAACAC
rnacentral:rRNA from 1 species